GACGGAGGGUGCAAGCGUUGUUCGGAAUUACUGGGCGUAAAGGGCGCGUAGGCGGUCUGUUAAGUUCGGUGUGAAAGCCCCCGGCUCACCUGGGGAACUGCGCCGGAAACCGACAGACUCGAGUACCGGAGAGGAGGGUGGAAUACCUGGUGUAGCGGUGAAAUGCGUAGAUAUCAGGAGGAACACCGGUGGCGAAGGCGGCCCUCUGGACGGAUACUGACGCUAAGGCGCGAAAGCGUGGGGAUCAAACAGG
rnacentral:rRNA from 1 species